UUUGAAAGGGGCAAUUAAAAGGGCUAAUUUUUAAACAAUGAGUUAGGAUGCUAAAAAAAGAAAAGGCAAUAAAGGAAAUGGGUCCUAGAUUUAUUUAUAAUAUGGAUCAUAUCAAUGCAAUACCCGGUAAUCACUCCUCGAGAAAGGGGCUACACGUGUUAUUAGCGCACCGGUAAUCAUAUUCAUAUCUAUCCUCCCCACUCUGUUAAGGUAUUAACGCGUGGAUUAGUCUUGAUUACUAUUGCAUACUAUUACUCAUCCAGUUCCUAUAAGUCCUGGAGGAACUUAGGACUACUAUUCCUAAAGGGAAGGGAUAUUAGGCUGAUUGGUUUCAAAGGAUAAAAAUCUAAGACGACAUACAAAAACACAUACUGCAUGUUGGGGAAACACAUAAACAGUGAAAGCUCAGGUAUACCUCCUCAAACAAAGCAAUUAAAUAGCAUGACUCAAACAAAAAGCAAAGUCUCAAUUUUUAGUAGUCCUAAAGCAGGGG
rnacentral:lncRNA from 1 species